UGCCUUGUAGCUAACCCGAUCAAAUAAUUACAAUAUGUUCAGUUUUAAUAACCCCAAAGCACACUAAAGUGUAAAUAACAAAACAUUCCCCCUCCUAAGUAUAGGCGAUAGAAAAGGAAAUAGGCGCAAUAGAGGAAGUACCGCAAGGGAACACUGAAAGAGAAAUGAAACAACCCAGACAAGCAUAGAGAAGCAGAGAUUAGAUCUUGUACCUUUUGCAUCAUGAUUUAGCAAGUGUAAAUUAAGCAAAGAGAACUAUAGUUUAUUAGCCCGAAACUAUGUGAGCUACUCCAAGACAGCCUAUUAUAGGGCACACCCGUCUCUGUUGCAAAAGAGUGGGAGGAGCUUUGAGUAGAGGUGACAGACCUACCGAACAUAGUUAUAGCUGGUUGUCCGGAAAAUGAAUAGAAGUUCAGCCUCUGGGCUUCUCCUUUCUAUUAAGUAUUUCACCUACUGAUAAGAUAAGAAACCCAGAGAGUUAGUCAAAGGGGGUACAGCCCCUUUGAAAAAGACACAACUUUUUAAGGAGGGUAAAGAUCAUAAUUAUAAAGGACAGUACUCUGGUGGGCUUGAAAGCAGCCACCCCUUAAGAAAGCGUCAAAGCUUAAGUACCAUAAAACCCUCUUAUCCUGAUCACCCAAUCUUAUCCCCCUUCUACUACCGUACUAUCCCAUGCUUCCAUGGGAGAAAUUAUGCUAAUAUGAGUAAUAAGGGGGCCUAGGCCCCCUCCCUGCACAAGUGUACAUCGGAACGGACAAACCACCGACCAUUAACGGCCCCAAAUUAAGAGGGUAAAGGAUGAGAAACCAAAAGACAAGAAAAUCAUCCAUCAACAAACCGUUAACCCUACACAGGUGUGCCCCGGGAAAGACUAAAAGGAAAAGAAGGAACUCGGCAAACACAUAAAGCCUCGCCUGUUUACCAAAAACAUCGCCUCUUGUAAUUGAUAAAUAAGAGGUCCCGCCUGCCCUGUGACUGUAAGUUUAACGGCCGCGGUAUUUUGACCGUGCGAAGGUAGCGCAAUCACUUGUCUUUUAAAUGAAGACCUGUAUGAAUGGCAUAACGAGGGCUUAGCUGUCUCCUUUCCCCAGUCAGUGAAAUUGAUCUCCCCGUGCAGAAGCGGGGAUAAACACAUAAGACGAGAAGACCCUAUGGAGCUUUAGACACUACGGUCGAUCAUGUCAAUAAACCCUUAUAAAGGACAAAACAGAAUGAAUCCCGCCGAAUUGUCUUUGGUUGGGGCGACCGCGGGGAACGACAAAACCCCCAUGUGGAAUGGGAGCACCCCUCCUACAGAUUAGAGUGACAACUCCAAUAAACAGAAUUUCUGACCAAAAAGAUCCGGCAAAGCCGAUCAACGGACCGAGUUACCCUAGGGAUAACAGCGCAAUCCUCUUUUAGAGCCCAUAUCGACAAGAGGGUUUACGACCUCGAUGUUGGAUCAGGACAUCCUAAUGGUGCAGCCGCUAUUAAGGGUUCGUUUGUUCAACGAUUAAAGUCCUACGUGAUCUGAGUUCAGACCGGAGUAAUCCAGGUCAGUUUCUAUCUAUGAUGUGCUUUUCUCUAGUACGAAAGGACCGAGAAAAGGAGGCCUAUACCCUAGGUACGCCUCCCCCUUACCUAAUGAAACUAAAUAAAGCAGGCAAAAGGACAUAUCCUUAUGCCGAAGAUUACGGCAU
rnacentral:rRNA from 1 species